GUACACUCCUGCGGGAGGCGGCAGUGGGGAAUUUUGAACAAUGGGGGCAACCCUGAUCCAGCAAUGCCGCGUGAGUGAAGAAGGCCUUCGGGUUGUAAAGCUCUUUUGUCAGGGAAGAAACGGUGGUGGCGAAUAACUACUACUAAUGACGGUACCUGAAGAAUAAGCACCGGCUAACUACGUGCCAGCAGCCGCGGUAAUACGUAGGGUGCAAGCGUUAAUCGGAAUUACUGGGCGUAAAGCGUGCGCAGGCGGUUGUGUAAGUCAGAUGUGAAAUCCCCGGGCUCAACCUGGGAAUUGCAUUUGAGACUGCACGGCUAGAGUGUGUCAGAGGGGGGUAGAAUUCCACGUGUAGCAGUGAAAUGCGUAGAUAUGUGGAGGAAUACCGAUGGCGAAGGCAGCCCCCUGGGAUAACACUGACGCUCAUGCACGAAAGCGUGGGGAGCAAACAGGAUUAGAUACCCUGGUAGUCCCAUG
rnacentral:rRNA from 1 species